UAAAAAGUUUUGCUUUACAGAUGGAGUUAAUAAUAGUUUAUAAGCUAAAAUGAAAAGGAUUUUGGGUGAGCUUCCUAAAGAGGAAGUGAGUCACUGUCUCGGCAGGAAAAGUGUUCCAGAUAGGCAGGGCUGGACGAGUUACAAAACACCCCCCAACUGUGUGGAGUCACAGGGAGUGGACAAGGGAUUAUUGCAUCCCAGAUUGCAGAAAACCAGGAAUUAGUAGGGGGCCUUGAAUUCCCCCCUGGGCCAUGUGUCUCUAGGUAUGGCCUUCUCCCAUCUCCCAGGCUCAGCUGAGUCAUCCCAGGGAAGGCGGAAUGGCUGAGGAAGAAGCAGGUGUUGCAGAUGGGUGGGUGAUUCAGUGGAUGGUGUUAUUCCCACUGAGUCAAUGCUAAAGCAGUUUGUAAGCAGGAAGUUGGGGACACUGUGUGGCUUCAGGAUCUGCUUUCUAAAUCCAGUGACAUUCAAGGAGUCUGCGGUUCCCUCAGAUUGCUUUCCACAGGGGCACUUCAGUCAUUCCCAUAAGCUCAGAUCCUUCCAAGCAACUCAGAGGAAGCAAAGCUCCCCAGAAGGUUCCUGCUCAUCUCUUCAAGGAGACGCUGCAGACAGAAAGCAACAGCUCAUCAAGCCUUAAUGGCAAGAAAAGAAAUGAACUAAACAAAUUCUUUUUUCCUCCUGCUAGCCCCAGCAUUUAAUUUUUGACUUUUAGAGUCUAAACAUAGCAACACGGCACCGAACAGAAGGCUCCCUAAAUUUUUGGGAAUCUCUAUUCUUGUAUUUAAAGCCUAAAAGAAAUGUAAUGCUUAUUCUGAAUAUCUUCAAAGUAAAUCAAUAACUAAGCACGA